AAGUUUUUUUAUUGGAUUCUUUAGGUUUUUCUACAUAUAAAAUCACGUUGUCUGUAAAGAGUGACAGUUUCACUACUUCCUUUCCAAUUUGGAUCCCUUUUAUUUCUUUUUCUUGCCUGAUUGCUCUGGAUAGGACUUCCAGCACUGUGUUAAAUAAGAGUGAUGACAGUGAGCAUCCUUGUCUGGUUCCUGUUCUUAGAGGGAUAGCUUUCAGUUUUUCUCCAUUGAGAAUGAUAUUUGCUAUGGGUUUGUCAUAUAUGGCCUUUAUUAUGUUGAGGUGUUUUCCUUCUAUACCCAUUUUAUUUAGAUUUUUUUUAUCAUAAAUGGAUGCUGUAUCUUGUCAAAUGCUUUCUCUACAUCUAUUGAGAUGAUCAUGUGAUUUUUAUUCUUCAUUUUGUUAAUAUGGUGUAUCACAUAGAUAGAUUUGCAGAUGUUGAACCAUCCCUGCAUUCCUGGAAUGAAACCUACUUGAUCAUGAUGUAUGAUCUUUUUAAUCUAUUGUUGUAUUCGAUUUGCUAGUAUUUUGUUGAGGAUUUUUGCAUCGAUGGUCAUCAGUGAUAUUGGCCAGUAAUUUUCAUUUUUUGUGUUGUCCUUGUCUGGUUUUGGUAUCAGAAUAAUGUUGGCUUCGUAGAAUGAGUUAGGAAGCCUCCCCUCCUCUUCAAUUUUUUGGAAGUGUUUGAGAAAGAUAGGUAUUAAGUCUUCUUUGAAUGUUUGGUAGAAUUCACCAUGGAAGCCAACUGGUCUUGAACUUUUAUGUUUUGGGAGGUUUUUGAUUGCUGUUUCGAUCUCCUUACUGGUGAUUGGUGUAUUCAAAUUCUCUGCUACCUCUUCGUCCAGUUUUGGAAGGUUGUUGAUUCUAAGAAUUUAUCCAUUUCUUCUAGAUUAUCCAAUUUGUUGGCAUAUAGCUUUUCAUAGCAUUCUUUUAUUAUCUUUUGUAUUUCUGAGCAGCUGAGAGCUACUCCUGGCCAACAGCCAGCAGGAAAGCAGGGACCUCAGUCCUACAUCCACA
rnacentral:lncRNA from 1 species